rnacentral:lncRNA from 1 species
AAUGCUGGAACUUUAGCAUUUUAAUCGUUUCUCUCCCGGAGCCGAGGGCGCGCGCUGGAGGCAGCUCAGAACUGGAUCACUUGUCCCUUUCUCUUCUUGUCUCCUCCCAGCUCGAAAUGCUUGCAGCGCUUGAUGGCCAGCAUCCUCUUGGACCUGCAGUUGGGCUCCACGCACUCGAGCCUCAGCACGAUCUUCUUGGUGGUCUUGGCCUUCUUGCGGAAGAUGGGCUUGGUCUGGCCGCCGUAGCCGCUCUGCUUGCGGUCGUAGCGGCGCUUGCCCUGCGCGUACAGGGAGUCCUUGCCCUUCUUGUACUGCGUCACCUUGUGCGGCUGGUGCUUGCCGCACUUCUUGCAGUAGGUGCGCCGGGUCUUGGGCACGUUCACCAUGGCGGCGGCAAAGGAGGAGCUUCCCAACUCCGCUUCACACGGGGCCGGGCUUCUCUUCGGCUUUUCAGCGGCACGAAAGACACGGGAGGAGACGGAAAAAGAGUUCUGAGGGAAAAGCUGCCAGAGCUGAGCGGAGCUCAGCGCGCGCCGACACGAGGCUCUCGGAAAGGAAGGAAGGAAGGGCUGAAGUGCCUUUCUAUUGGCCCGCUCGGGGCGGAAGCGAACAGGAAGCGGAUGUUACCCAGAGGGCAAAGCGCGCUGAGUAGUCCAAAGCUCUUGUAACUUCUGACGAAAGUGCGGAAAUGCUCGGGGAACUCUAUUCUCGGCUGCUUUUCUUGGGACGAAUGUGCUGCUGGGAUAUUGGCGAGCUAUUUACCCUAAUGCUUGAUUGGCGGAGAUUGCUGCGGGUGGAGGCGGGCGUGGUUGCCGUAGCUUGCUCUAGGUCGCCAUGGUGAUGAUG